GAUGAACGCUGGCGGCGUGCCUAAUACAUGCAAGUCGAGCGAACAGACGAGGAGCUUGCUCCUCUGACGUUAGCGGCGGACGGGUGAGUAACACGUGGAUAACCUACCUAUAAGACUGGGAUAACUUCGGGAAACCGGAGCUAAUACCGGAUAAUAUAUUGAACCGCAUGGUUCAAUAGUGAAAGACGGUUUUGCUGUCACUUAUAGAUGGAUCCGCGCCGCAUUAGCUAGUUGGUAAGGUAACGGCUUACCAAGGCAACGAUGCGUAGCCGACCUGAGAGGGUGAUCGGCCACACUGGAACUGAGACACGGUCCAGACUCCUACGGGAGGCAGCAGUAGGGAAUCUUCCGCAAUGGGCGGAAGCCUGAAGGAGCAACGCCGCGUGAGUGAUGAAGGUCUUCGGAUCGUAAAACUCUGUUAGUAGGGAAGAACAAAUGUGUAAGUAACUAUGCACGUCUUGACGGUACCUAAUCAGAAAGCCACGGCUAACUACGUG
rnacentral:rRNA from 1 species